UACGAAGGGGGCUAGCGUUGCUCGGAAUCACUGGGCGUAAAGCGUGCGCAGGCGGUCUGUUAAGACCGAUGUGAAAUCCCCGGGCUUAACCUGGGAACUGCAUUGGUGACUGGCAGGCUUUGAGUGUGGCAGAGGGAGGUAGAAUUCCACGUGUAGCAGUGAAAUGCGUAGAGAUGUGGAGGAAUACCGAUGGCGAAGGCAGCCUCCUGGGCCAACACUGACGCUCAUGCACGAAAGCGUGGGGAGCAAACAGG
rnacentral:rRNA from 1 species